rnacentral:rRNA from 1 species
GCUGGCGGCGUCUUAACACAUGCAAGUCGAACGGUGAAAGCGGAGCUUGCUCCGCUGGAUCAGUGGCGAACGGGUGAGUAACACGUGGGCAACCUGCCCCAGACUUCGGGAUAACUCUUCGAGAGAGGCGCUAAUACCGGAUAUGAACUCUGCAGGCAUCUGCGGAGUUGGAAAGUUUUUCGGUCUGGGAUGGGCCCGCGGCCUAUCAGCUAGUUGGUGAGGUAGUGGCUCACCAAGGCGACGACGGGUAGCCGGCCUGAGAGGGCGACCGGCCACACUGGGACUGAGACACGGCCCAGACUCCUACGGGAGGCAGCAGUGGGGAAUAUUGCGCAAUGGGCGAAAGCCUGACGCAGCAACGCCGCGUGCGGGAUGAAGGCCUUCGGGUUGUAAACCGCUUUCAGCAGGGAAGAAGCGAAAGUGACGGUACCUGCAGAAGAAGCACCGGCUAACUACGUGCCAGCAGCCGCGGUAAUACGUAGGGUGCAAGCGUUGUCCGGAUUUAUUGGGCGUAAAGAGCUCGUAGGCGGUUAGUCGCGUCGGAUGUGAAAACCCAGUGCUUAACACUGGGCCUGCAUUCGAUACGGGCUGACUAGAGUGUUGUAGGGGAGACUGGAACUCCUGGUGUAGCGGUGAAAUGC